UACGUAGGAUCCAAGCGUUGUCCGGAUUUACUGGGUGUAAAGGGUGCGUAGGCGGGUCUUUAAGUCAGGGGUGAAAUCCUGGAGCUCAACUCCAGAACUGCCUUUGAUACUGAAGAUCUUGAGUUCGGGAGAGGUGAGUGGAACUGCGAGUGUAGAGGUGAAAUUCGUAGAUAUUCGCAAGAACACCAGUGGCGAAGGCGGCUCACUGGCCCGAUACUGACGCUGAGGCACGAAAGCGUGGGGAGCAAACAGG
rnacentral:rRNA from 1 species